UACGGGGGGAGCAAGCGUUGUUCGGAUUUACUGGGCGUAAAGGGCGCGUAGGCGGCCACCGCAGGUCGACUGUGAAAUCUCCGGGCUUAACCCGGAAAGGUCAGCCGAUACUGCGGGGCUAGAGUGCAGAAGGGGCAACUGGAAUUCUCGGUGUAGCGGUGAAAUGCGUAGAUAUCGGGAGGAACACCAGUGGCGAAGGCGACUUCCUGGCCUGUUCUUGACGCUGAGGCGCGAAAUCUAGGGGAGCAAACGGG
rnacentral:rRNA from 1 species